GGCUCAGGAUGAACGCUAGCGGCAGGCCUAAUACAUGCAAGUCGAACGGUCACGCAGCAAUGCGUGAUAGUGGCGCACGGGUGCGUAACACGUAUGCAACCUACCUUAUAGAGGGGGAUAGCCUUUGGAAACGGAGAUUAAUACCCCAUAACACAUUGACUUGGCAUCAGGUUAUUGUUAAAGAUUUAUCGCUAUAAGCUGGGCAUGCGUCCAAUUAGUUAGUUGGUGAGGUAAUGGCUCACCAAGACUUUGAUUGGUAGGGGAACUGAGAGGUUAAUCCCCCACACUGGCACUGAGAUACGGGCCAGACUCCUACGGGAGGCAGCAGUAGGGAAUAUUGGGCAAUGGAGGCAACUCUGACCCAGCCAUGCCGCGUGCAGGAAGAAGGCGUUAUGCGUUGUAAACUGCUUUUAUAUAGGAAGAAAGAGUUCUUGCGAGAACA
rnacentral:rRNA from 1 species